GGACCAAGGAGUCUAGCAUGUGCGCGAGUCAUUGGGACUCUAACGAAACCUAAAGGCGUAAUGAAAGUGAAGGCUCGCCUAGCGCGGGCCGAGGGAAGAUGGGUGUCCCCAAGAGGACGCCCCGCACUCCCAGGGCGUCUCGUUCUCAUUGCGAGAAGAGGCGCACCAAGAGCGUACACGCUGGGACCCGAAAGAUGGUGAACUAUGCCUGGUCAGGACGAAGUCAGGGGAAACCCUGAUGGAGGUCCGUAGCGAUUCUGACGUGCAAAUCGAUCGUCGGAACUGGGUAUAGGGGCGAAAGACUAAUCGAACCAUCUAGUAGCUGGUUCCCUCCGAAGUUUCCCUCAGGAUAGCUGGCGCUCGCUUCUCGCGAGUCUCAUUCGGUAAAGCGAAUGAUUAGAGGCAUUGGGGUCGAAACGGCCUCAACCUAUUCUCAAACUUUAAAUGGGUGAGAUCUCCGGCUUGCUUGAACUGUGAAGCCGCGAGAUAUCGGAUCAGAGUGCCAAGUGGGCCACUUUUGGUAAGCAGAACUGGCGCUGUGGGAUGAACCAAACGCUGAGUUAAAGCGCCUAAAUCGACGCUUAUGGGAUACCAUGAAAGGCGUUGGUAACUUAAGACAGCAGGACGGUGGCCAUGGAAGUCGGA
rnacentral:rRNA from 1 species